rnacentral:rRNA from 1 species
UACGUAGGGCGCGAGCGUUGUCCGGAAUUAUUGGGCGUAAAGAGCUCGUAGGCGGUCUGUCGCGUCGGAUGUGAAAGCCCGGGGCUUAACCCCGGGUCUGCAUUCGAUAUGGCAGGACUAGAGUGUGUGAGGGGAGAUCGGAAUUCCUGGUGUAGCGGUGAAAUGCGCAGAUAUCAGGAGGAACACCGGUGGCGAAGGCGGAUCUCUGGGCCAUUACUGACGCUGAGGAGCGAAAGCGUGGGGAGCGAACAGG